GACGUAGGGUCCGAGCGUUGUCCGGAGUUACUGGGCGUAAAGGGCGCGUAGGCGGGCAGUUUAGUCAGAGGUGAAAGCCCAGGGCUCAACCUUGGAAUUGCCUUUGAUACUGGCUGUCUUGAGUUCGGGAGAGGUGAGUGGAAUGCCGAGUGUAGAGGUGAAAUUCGUAGAUAUUCGGCGGAACACCAGUGGCGAAGGCGACUCACUGGCCCGAUACUGACGCUGAGGCGCGAAAGCGUGGGGAGCAAACAGG
rnacentral:rRNA from 1 species